UUUGUCACCUUAAUAAGGAAGAAGAAGAAGAAGAAGAAGAAGAAGGAGAAGAAGAAGCCUUAUGGUACCAACCUAAAUUGGUAGAAUUAAGGAAGUUUUUAGUUCCCCUGCUAAUUCAGAGAUAUAUAGAAAGCCGGCAUUUUUCAACCACCUUUGGCAAUUUGCUUCCAGUAGUUCAACAACUCCCCUGUGGACACCUUUACAGCUCAUCGCUGGAUGAUGUACAGAGGGCGACGACGAAAUGGUGAGCGAAGAUGAUUACGAAAUUUGAAUACUGCCACAGGAGUUACAGAGUGUGGACAUCAACCUGCAGUCAUUCUGGUCAAACUGAUGUUCUGCAGAGGAGGAGUGCAACACUUCCUGUUGCGAUGUACCCUGUAUCCUGUUUUCCACAGUCAGUGGUCAUGCGUGUCAUUCCCCUCUGCGAGGCUGUGUGGGCACAAUCUUGUGACCCUGCACUGUGAAUCUUCUGAGACUGAAUCGAGGGAGACUUCACAUGUCUGAGAAAAACUCUGAAUGUCAGCAAAAAAAUAUGUAUAAUAGCACAAUAAAGGUCUGUUGAGAAAUGACCAUGACUUUAGUCUAGCUUGCUAAAAGUUGAUGAGGAAGACUACAGUAAAUAACAGACAUGUUUCAUUGUAUAAUCCCUGUGUUUUGAAGUGUUAAGUAAGCUGUAGCAGAACCAGUAACCGUACUAUUUGACAACCUGCAUACUGUGCUUCUUUCAGAAUAUUAGUAGCCUCUUAAAAUAAGUGCAUACAGAGAUAAUGAUGAGAACAUUGACACCUCCAUACAGCAGACCCAAAGACUCCAGGGGCCAAACUAUGUGACUGAGUAUUAAGAGGUGCCAAUAUAACUGUUUGAGUGCUUGUGUGAGCUUUAACCAUCAGAGAUGUGUAUCUUGUGACUUCAUUCAGACAUAAAACUGUGAAGUGCUUGGUUACACCCUGUGGUAGAACCAGCAGUACUUGGUCAGAGCUACUGCAGGUCACAAGUAUGCAACCUCACAGUGUGUCACUUACACUUGAAAACAAAUAGAACAAUGCUGGCAACUUUAUCUUAUACACUAUAUCUCAUUGGACAUGUUUUUAUAGAGUGAGAGUAGCCUAUUCAGUCACUGCUGGUGGACAUGAUGACAAGGCAAUCCAGUGCAUUAGCCCUUUAAGAGCCAGUUUGCUGACUUGAUGAUUCUUCUCUACUUGAGCUAUUGUUACACUACAUUAUGCUAUAACUGACACUUGUUGCCACAGUUGCUGCUGUUCAGCAAAAGUUACAUAGGAUCGCUUUAAGUGAUUGCAUGUAAGUAUAAUUAGCAAAAUGUAAUUAAAUUACCAUAUGUAAAAGUACUCAAUGCAGAAAAAUGGCCAUUACUGAUUACUGAUGCUUUAAUGUGUAAGUAGAAUUGUACUAUUGUAGUAGGUCAAGUAUUUUAUAUAUUGUUGGGUAGUUUAAUCUAUAGCAAUGCAACCUAAUUUUACAGUUUAUGUAAAAUCCUAAUUUUUAAAGAAACCUGUAACCAUAGCUGAAGACUAAAUGUAGUGUAAAAAGUACAAUAUUAGUAGUAUACAAAGGUAUCGAUUGGAAAUACCCUAGUAAAGUACCUCAAACUUGCAGUGCUUAAAUAAAUGUACAAAGUUACAUCCCACCACUGCUUACAUUAUAUUGUUAGGCUUUUCUGUUAUUUUGUCAGCUGUGAACCAGUGUGGGUGCAUAAAUAACAGAGUUCAUAUGAAUCAACACAUCUCUGACACAGACUUAGCUAAAGAUGGGCAUUAUGUGAGUGUCACAUGUUCUGCAGGGUUAUUGUGUUGUAUUUCACUAUAUUUUACAAGUAUUCAUUUUAUUGUGUCCAUCACUGCAUUAUGAAUACAUAUGGGUAAUAUCUGGAUCCCUGGUUCCAUGGUUAACGUAGUCUGAAAAUCUGCCAGUGGUACUUAUAUUACACUCACAGGCCAGUUUAUUAGGUACACCUAUAAAAUGUAAUGCAAUCCAACAGCUCUGCCACAAAUUCUACAUUUAUGAAGAUUAUAAUGUUCAGUUUGGGUUAAAUCAUUCGAGAGGUGUUAAUUCAGCUGUAUAUAUACACUAUAUAUAUUUAUCACUGAGGUCAUAGUGGUGGUGUUAUACUGUAUUAUAUUGAGUGUUUCUGAUAUUCUUCCCUCUUCAUGUUUGUAAAUGCGAUGGGCAAAACAUUAGAAACACCUCUCAAUAUAAAGCAGUCCAGUUCAAUACCACUGCAAACAACAACCUCAAUAUUAAACAUGUAGUUGAAUUAAUACCUCUCUGACAGUGUCAAUCAAAACUGAACAUUAUUAUCUUUGUAAAGGUAGAAUUUAUGGUUGAGCUGUUGUAUUGGAUAGCAUUAGAUUUUACAGGUAUACCUAAAAAUGUGGCCACUGAGUGUAUAUUGGCAAUGCUAAUCGAAGUCACUGGAAGCGGUAACAGUAAUACAGUUACUGUAAAAUCAAAUGCACAUGACAAAUGGAAAUUUUUUUGAAAAACAAUGCACGGCAUGUGAUCUGUCAGGGUAAUGGUAUUUACGGUCUUUUUACGAUGUUGCAAUCUGCCUGCAGAACAUGAAAAAGAAGAGUUAAAGGCUUAAACAAACAUACUCUGGGCUUAAAAUGAAUCAAUUACAUUUUAUAAUAAGAAAUAUAAAACAAGAUAGUUAAUGAGUACUUAUAGUUCAUUUGUAUUCUAGCAGCACUGUACUGAGUUUUGUGGAAAUUCUUUUGGUGAAAUAAAGCAAAAAGUGUUA